UACAACAGGGAUUGCCUUAGUAACGGCGAGUGAAGCGGCAAAAGCUCAAAUUUGAAAUCUGGCGUCUUCGGCGUCCGAGUUGUAAUUUGAAGAAGGCUACUUUGGAGCUGGAGUUUGUCUAAGUUCCUUGGAACAGGACGUCACAGAGGGUGAGAAUCCCGUGAGAUAAGCUUCCCAGUUCUAUGUAAAGUGCUUUCGAAGAGUCGAGUUGUUUGGGAAUGCAGCUCUAAGUGGGUGGUAAAUUCCAUCUAAAGCUAAAUAUUGGCGAGAGACCGAUAGCGAACAAGUACAGUGAUGGAAAGAUGAAAAGAACUUUGAAAAGAGAGUGAAAAAGUACGUGAAAUUGUUGAAAGGGAAGGGCUUGAGAUCAGACAUGGUAUUUUGUAAACCUUCUCUCUCGUGGAGGGGGCCCCUUGCAGUUUACUGGGCCAGCAUCAGUUUGGGCGGUAGGAUAAUGACUAAGGAAUGUGACUUGCCUUCGGGGAAGUGUUAUAGCCUUGGUUGAUACUGCCAGCCUAGACUGAGGACCGCGUCUUUGACAAGGAUGUUGGCAUAAUGAUCUUAAGCCA
rnacentral:rRNA from 1 species